rnacentral:rRNA from 1 species
UACAGAGGUCCCAAGCGUUGUUCGGAAUCACUGGGCGUAAAGGGUGCGUAGGCGGUAGUGUAAGACUUAGGUGAAAUCUCCAUGCUUAACGUGGAGCUCGCCUGGGAGACUGCAUUACUUGAGGAUUGGAGGGGAGACUGGAAUUCUUGGAGUAGCAGUGAAAUGCGUAGAUAUCAAGAGGAACACCGAUGGCGAAGGCAGGUCUCUGGGCCACUACUGACGCUGAGAAGCGAAAGCAUGGGGAGCGAACAGGAUUA